UGGGGAAUAUUGGACAAUGGGGGAAACCCUGAUCCAGCGACGCCGCGUGUGAAGAAGGCCUGCGGGUUGUAAAGCACUUUCGGUGGGAACGAAAUAUGCCGGGCUAAUACCCCGGUAGGCUGACGUUACUCAAUGAAGAAGCACCGGCUAACUCUGUGCCAGCAGCCGCGGUAAUACAGAGGGUGCGAGCGUUAAUCGGAAUUACUGGGCGUAAAGCGCACGUAGGUGGCGACGUAAGUCGGGUGUGAAAGCCCCGGGCUCAACCUGGGAACCGCAUUCGAGACUGUGUUGCUGGAGUACGGAAGAGGAGGGCGGAAUUCCCGGUGUAGCGGUGAAAUGCGUAGAUAUCGGGAGAACAUCAGUGGCGAAGGCGGCCCUCUGGUCCAGUACUGACACUCAAGUGCGAAAGCGUGGGGAGCAAACAGGAUUAGAUACCCCCGUAGUCCCUGAGCGGGCUGGCAAGGCGCAU
rnacentral:rRNA from 1 species